GAGACAUUAGCUCAGUUGGCAGAGCAUACGCCUUUUAAGCGUAGGGUCGAGGGUUCAAAUCCCUCAUGUCUCACCA
rnacentral:tRNA from 2 species